UCCUACGGGGGGCAGCAGUGAGGAAUAUUGGUCAAUGGGCGGGAGCCUGAACCAGCCACUUCUCUUUCUUUCAGACGGUCCUAUGGAUUGUAAACCUCUUUAGGCGGGGAGCAAUGCCGGGCACGCGUGCCCGGAGGGAGAGUACCCGCAGAAUAAGCAUCGGCUAACUCCGUGCCAGCAGCCGCGGUAAUACGGAGGAUGCGAGCGUUAUCCGGAUUUAUUGGGUUUAAAGGGUGCGUAGGCGGAUUUUUAAGUCAGCGGUAAAAUGUCCGGGCUCAACCCGGGCCGGCCGUUGAAACUGGGGG
rnacentral:rRNA from 1 species